UGUGUUCUUCUUUCUGUUCUUCUUUCUUCUCUCGUCCAACUAAAAAGUAACCCAUUUAUACUCCAAAGUGAGCCAUUUUCUUCCUGAUUUGCCACCGUAGAUACGUUGUAGAUAGUUGGGGGAGGCAAGGGAGACCUCGAUCUACUGAUGGGGUAGCUCGUGGUGGUCGUGGUGACCAUUUUUGUGGAGGUGGUGGAGACGGUGGUGAGCAAUUUUGUGGAGGUGGUGGAGGUGGAGAUGAACUGAUGAAGCUGCGGCAGUGUGGUGGACGUGAAGCUCCGGCUCCGGUGAUUGAAGGCCGCUGUUCGUCGGCGUUGCUUCGCACGCUUCAAGGCGAUACAUGACCGGAACACGGUUAUGCAUCAUUCAUCACAAUCACCUAGAUGAGAUACCUGCCCCUAAUACGGCGGAUAUGUACCCGAGCUAUGAUACUUCGGGCUCUAGGCAGCAAGCGGUAAGAUAUAUUCUAUUCAUAUAAUGCAAGUAGUCCAUACAUACUUUGCCGUGCGCACGUAAUAAUUUCAGGCUGAGUUGACUCGCGGACUUGGCGAGGAGGUGUCCACCUUUCAGCGUUCACUGUCGUCUGCACCUCUAAUGCUUCCCCGGGCUCAGGUCCAGACCUGGAUGUCGCGCAUUGAGGAGAAAGUACGAUCUGUGUAUCGGGCUAUUACGUGCACACGCACUUCGGACGUACUUCACCAGCAUCCCCCCGCCACUCCACGCACCAGCAGCCGCCGCGUCACUCGACUGGUCAGCUCGAACCCACGCAUCACCGACAUGAUCCGCGUCCAUGUCUAGCAGAGCAGUGGAUGGCCAGGCCACCACCUCCUGACCAGGCCGGUAGUUCGGCGUGGCAGCACAAGCCGGAUCCCACGUCUGCCUACGUGUUUCGGCCACGACCUCCGCCUGCAGGGUCCUACGGAUAUCAGCCGUAUGGACAUGACGCGUCUAUGUCCGGAUCCGGGUGGGAUAGUGACCAUGAAGGUAGGCAUAAUAGACAGGAUUUCUUGUCGCAGCACAACGAGUGGAUGGACAUAUAUACGACUCCUGCACCACCUCCCACACAGGAAACACAACAUGACCAGGCAUGGUCUGAGCUUCCUCCCCGUAACGUUCGGGCACCCCACAGGUAUUUGUGGCCGACGCUGCCUACACCACCUCCACGACGUGCCGGACGACGUGGUUGAUGCUUGUCUACCACUAUAUCUAUCUAUGUACGUGAGGGGCGUACGUAUGCUACCUAUGUAUGCGGUUGGAACUAAUCAUCUUCCUGGUGGACGACCGGAACUAAUCAUCUUUCUGCUGGACGAUUAGUAGUAAUAAUCUUUCUUC